rnacentral:rRNA from 1 species
AACGAACGCUGGCGGCAGGCCUAACACAUGCAAGUCGAACGCUGCAGCAAUGCAGAGUGGCAGACGGGUGAGUAACGCGUGGGAACACUCCAAAUGGUACGGAAUAGCCCAGGGAAACUUGGGGUAAUCACGUAUAAGCUCCAUGGGGGACAGAUUUAUCGCCAUUGGAGGGGCCCGCGUCGGAUUAGCUAGUUGGUGAGGUAACGGCUCACAAAGGCGGCGAUCCGUAGCUGGUUUGAGAGAAUGACCAGCCACACUGGGACUGAGACACGGCCCAGACUCCUACGGGAGGCAGCAAUAGGGAAUCUUGGACAAUGGGCGAAAGCCUGAUCCAGCCAUGCCGCGUGAGUGACGAAGGCCUUAAGGUUGUAAAGCUCUUUUGGCGAGGACGAUAAUGACGGUACCCGCAGAAUAAGUCCCGGCUAACUUCGUGCCAGCCGCCGCAGUAA